AUACGGAGGGUGCAAGCGUUAAUCGGAAUUACUGGGCGUAAAGCGCGCGUAGGCGGCUUGAUAAGUCGGAUGUGAAAUCCCUGGGCUCAACCUAGGAACUGCAUCCGAUACUGUCAAGCUAGAGUUUUAGAGAGGUAAGUGGAAUUUCCGGUGUAGCGGUGAAAUGCAUAGAGAUCGGAAGGAACACCAGUGGCGAAGGCGACUUACUGGCCAAAAACUGACGCUGAGGUGCGAAAGCGUGGGGAGCGAACAGAAUUAGAAACCCUUGUAGGCC
rnacentral:rRNA from 1 species